rnacentral:rRNA from 1 species
UACGGGGGGGGCAAGCGUUGUUCGGAAUUACUGGGCGUAAAGGGCUCGUAGGCGGCCAACUAAGUCAGACGUGAAAUCCCUCGGCUUAACCGGGGAACUGCGUCUGAUACUGGAUGGCUUGAGUGUGGGAGAGGGAUGCGGAAUUCCAGGUGUAGCGGUGAAAUGCGUAGAUAUCUGGAGGAACACCGGUGGCGAAGGCGGCAUCCUGGACCAUUACUGACACUGAAAAGCGAAAGCCAGGGGAGCAAACGGG